rnacentral:misc_RNA from 1 species
AAGUCGUAACAAGGUUUCCGUAGGUGAACCUGCGGAAGGAUCAUUAACACGUAUCCAAACGUUAAAACAACCCUGUGAAUAUUGAAUCUCAGUUCCCCCAGGGCAGAAAAAUGGGCUUCCUCUAGUAAAUCAUUGUCUUAACAAGGUUUUGAGUUAGAGGAUGGCGCACGAGUAGCACCUGUAUUGGGUCGAGCGUUUACAACUAUCCACUCCUGGUGCCCCCAAGCAACCAUCAAUCUGAAAGUGUUUGACACGGCCAUCGACCGGGGGUCGUUACUUCCUCGUGAGGGGGGCCUAGUUCAUUCAGGUUGAACAUGAUGCAUGUCUACCGCGCCCGACGAAAGUCCGACGCACCCCUAACCGAACAACUGUUAACAAUGGAUAUUGGUUCUC